rnacentral:sRNA from 1 species
AAUAAACUCAGACGGUAAUUCCAUAGUUUAGCAAUAAUCAUCAUCGGUAAUCAUCCCAAUAAAACAAAUCAAAAAAAUGUAAUCGCCGAAAUGGCUCCGUAGAUCGUAAAUCAAUUCAAGAUCCACAGGUUCCUAUCAGUAAGCGAAACACGUACAUUUGUUUAUGUCCAAUGUAGCAUCGAGGAUCAUUGCCCUAAAGCUACCGUCGACGUGGCAUCGGACAAUUUUUCUUAAACC